ACGCACGCUGGCGGCGUGCUUCACACCUGCAAGUCGCACUGAAAGGCCCUGCUUUUGUGGGGUGCUCGAGUGGCGAACGGGUGAGUAACACGUGAGUAACCUGCCCUUGACUUUGGGAUAACUUCAGGAAACUGGGGCUAAUACCGGAUAGGAGCUCCUGCUGCAUGGUGGGGGUUGGAAAGUUUCGGCGGUUGGGGAUGGACUCGCGGCUUAUCAGCUUGUUGGUGGGGUAGUGGCUUACCAAGGCUUUGACGGGUAGCCGGCCUGAGAGGGUGACCGGCCACAUUGGGACUGAGAUACGGCCCAGACUCCUACGGGAGGCAGCAGUGGGGAAUAUUGCACAAUGGGCGGAAGCCUGAUGCAGCAACGCCGCGUGCGGGAUGACGGCCCUCGGGUUGUAAACCGCUUUCGCCUGUGACGAAGCGUGAGUGACGGUAAUGGGUAAAGAAGCACCGGCUAACUACGUG
rnacentral:rRNA from 1 species